GCUAAUUCCCUGAGCACGCCGUUCCUUUGCACGUGCUGCUGUAGCCUACUCAAGCAUGCGAUGGUCAAAGCAAGUGUUACUACACAGAAAAGCAGACCCAUAGCAUUACAGUAGAUGUGAGAACCUUGCUUUGGAGAGUAUUGCAAAACACUACAACAAAGCUGCUGAUGAGGACAAGAACCCAGCAGCAGCAAACCACUCGUUAUGCCAUUGCUGUCAGCCAAGAAAACAAAGCAUCCUAGCGCCUCCUAUGCAUGGAUGUGAAGACUAACACAUUUAAUGAACACUGUAAUUUAAAAUACAGGUAAACUGAUGCAUUUU